rnacentral:lncRNA from 1 species
UGUGGAUGAGUCAUUUAUAUGGUGGCAAAAAAGAUAUUUCUCAUUUUGCUCUUUAUUAAUUCCCGAUUCCUCUUUCUUAGGUUUUCUAUGGAAAUUCAUUCUGAGACAUACGUUAUUUGAGUGUUUUGCAAAGAAAAAAAGUAAGAAAACUGGAGACAGACUCACGUCCUUUCCCACCAGAGAAAUGAGCCCUCGCUGUUGCUGGAAGUGCUAACUAUGGUGUCAUGCAGUGGAAGAGUUGGGGAAUCUCCCAAUAACUCGGUCUCUGAUAAAAGAGA